AUCAAAAUUACAAGAAACCUAAAAGAAAUUAAAAAAAAAAUAAUAAGAAAUCUUAAAGGAAUUCAAAAGAAAUCUAAAUAAAUCUUAAAAGAAUCUUUAAGAAAUCUUGAAGAAAUAUUAGAAUAAUCACAAAUAUAUCUUAAAUAAUUUCAAUCAAGUUCUAAUUUAAUCUUAAUUGAAAUCUUAAUGGACUUCAAUCAAAAUCUAGGUCAAAUCCUAAAUCCUAAGCAAAAUCUAAAUCCUUAAUCAAACCUAAAUAAAUCCUAAAUUCUUAACCAAACUCUAUAAAAAUCCUAAACCCUAAAUCAAAUCAUAGACAAAUCCUAAAAUUUAAAUCAAACCAUAGAUAAACCUUAAAUUCUAAAUCAAACCCUAGACAAAUCUUAAAUCCUAAAGUGAAUCCUAUACAAACCUUAAACCCUAAACCAAAUCCUAUGCAAACCUUAAGUCUUGAACCAAAUCCUAUAUAAAUCUUAAAUCCUAAACCAAAUCCUAUACAAAUCCUAAAUCCUAAACUAAAUCCUAAAUAAAUCCUAAAUCUUAAAUCAAAUCUUACAUAAACCUUAAAUCCUAAACCAAAUCUUAAACAAAUCCUAACGAAAUCCUAAAUCCUAAAUCAAAUCCUAAGACAAAUUAGAAUAUUAAUAUCUAUUGAUUAAAUCAUUGAUCUUGCUUGAAAAUUUAUACACUUUUUAAUUUAUCAAUUAAAAAAUAAUA
rnacentral:lncRNA from 1 species